rnacentral:misc_RNA from 1 species
GUGAAUCAUCGAAUUUUUGAACGCAUAUUGCACUCUCUGGUAUUCCGGAGAGUAUGCCUGUUUGAGGGUCGCCUAAAUAAAUAUCGAUUCAUUGCUUUUUUUUUUAAAAAAAAAUGUUAUCGGAUCUGAGCCUUCUUUUAUAAUAAUUUUUUUUUUUUUAUUAAAGUGGCUUAAAAUUUUUUUUCGGGUAUGAUAAACGUAUUUUACGAUCAAUUUUGAUUAAAAAAGAACGUAUGAACAUACCAUCAAUUAUGUAAUACGUUGGACUAUGUUUUAUCUGGUUU